rnacentral:lncRNA from 1 species
GUCCAUACCGUUUUAACAUCAUGUACUAGACAAAACAAAAUAAGAGUCUCACAUUACAUAUUACUAGUAAAAGAAAAUACAUAGCACUAAGAAAAUGGCGGAGCUUCCUUUGAAAAUCUGCCUUAGCUUUUCAGCGGCUACCGUUGCUGCCUUAUCUUUUCAGCGGCUACCCUUGCUAUAUUUUUUGGGUCGGUCUUGAAACGGUUUGUAAACAUGUGGGUGUGCGUAUGCCAGUUAUAAAAAUGUGUUUUCAUGUCACACGUAACACGUGUUACGUUGUACAUGGGUUUCAUGUCACAUGUAACACAUGCAUGUCCGAGAAGUUCAAACUAUAACACGUGUUAGUUGUGUUGUGCUGCAAUAUAAACAUGGUCAUGAUCCUUGAUUAUCUGAUCCACGUUUGACGAAACCACGAUUGAAUAUCUUUAUUGUUCUGU